UUCUCAUAGGCCCAUAAGUUUAAACAUUUUAAUGAUAUACUUUAUUUAAGCCAAUAUAUCCAAAGUAAGAUUUCGACGUGCAAUCAAUAGAAAAACUAAAUGCGAUGUUUUAAUACUUUUGAAAAUCGUACGUGUUUCUGAAACCCAGUGUAGUGUUGACUUGCAUGUGUGGCAAUUCCGGCCGUCUGUAUUUCAAGGGGUUAGCGGCCACCUGCGGCCAGUGCUGCCUCAUCGGGGCACAGGCAGCAUGAUUAUUACUGUUAUUAUGACUCUGAUUAUUACAUAGCAUAAUUAUUAAUAUAGGAUACAUUAUAUACUAUUAUUACGAUAAUUAUUAUAUAGCGUGAUUAUUGAUAUUAUUAUUAUUGAGACAGAGUCUCCUGCUGUCACCCAGGCUGGAGUGCAGUGGCCCGAUCUCGGCUUACUGCAACCUCUACCUCCUGGGUUCAAGCGAUUCUCCUGCUUCAGCCCCCUGAGUACCUGGGACUACAGGUGUGAGCCACGGCGCCUGGCCCACAGGCAGCUUUAGAUGCUCUAGUAGGAGCUCAGCACAUUCAGUUGGAUUCUUUUUCUAAGAUGGGUUCUCACUAUGUGCCCAGACUAGUCCUGGACUCCUGGGCCAAAGCAAUCCUUCCACCUCCACCUCCAGAGUAGCUGGGACUACGGACGUGUGCCACAACGCCCGGAGUUUGAUUCUUGAGUCUCCCUCCGGAGGAGCCAGACCAUACAAAGAUUAACGCAGAAUGCUAAAUGGGGGUUGAAAUAGUAGAUACUAUGGGCAAGGAGAAGGAGAUCAAUUUUGUUAAGUUUCUUCCUCCUCUUCCUGGGACAGCAACCAUCCAAUUUAACCUUUCAUCCUCUCCUACUACCUAAUCCUUGAAAAAUGCAAGUCCAAAAUCAUUUCAUCACCAGUAAUUGUCUUUAAAUUGCUCCAAUAAUUUGCAAAGACAAAGGGGAAAAGAGAAAGAUGAAAAAGCCAACUGCCCAGAGAAACAGAUUUUAUAAACAAUCUAAAAUCUAGUAUGCUUAUGCUAUCAAGUUUUUAAAACACUCUCAUAGUCUGGAAUAAAACCAAAUUAUGAUAAAAACA